UGGCGGCAGUAGCGCGGUGGUCCCACCUGACCCCAUGCCGAACUCAGAAGUGAAACGCCGUAGCGCCGAUGGUAGUGUGGGGUCUCCCCAUGCGAGAGUAGGGAACUGCCAGAC
rnacentral:rRNA from 6 species